GUGCCUAAUACAUGCAAGUCGAACGCUUCUUAUUAGUGAAGAGUGGCGAACGGGUGAGUAAGACAUAAGUAACCUGGCCUUUACAGGGGGACAACUGCUGGAAACGGCAGCUAAUACCGCAUGGAUAUAACCACCGCAUGGAGGAUAUAUGAAAGCAGCCAAGGCUGCGGUAGAGGAUGGACUUAUGGCGCAUUAGCUGGUUGGUGAGGUAGAGGCUCACCAAGGCGACGAUGCGUAGCCGACCUGAGAGGGUGACCGGCCACACUGGGACUGAGACACGGCCCAGACUCCUACGGGAGGCAGCAGUAGGGAAUUUUCGGCAAUGGGCGAAAGCCUGACCGAGCAACGCCGCGUGAAGGAAGAAGGAAUUCGUUCUGUAAACUUCUGUCAUAGAGGAAGAACGGUAUGUGUAGGGAAUGACACAUAAGUGACGGUACUCUAUAAGAAAGCCACGGCUAACUACGUGCCAGCAGCCGCGGUAAUACGUAGGUGGCGAGCGUUACCCGGAAUUAUUGGGCGUAAAGAGGGAGCAGGCGGCACUAAGGGUCUGUGGUGAAAGCCCGAAGCUUAACUUCGGUAAGCCAUGGAAACCGUAGAGCUAGAGUGUGUGAGAGGAUCGUGGAAUUCCAUGUGUAGCGGUGAAAUGCGUAGAUAUAUGGAGGAACACCAGUGGCGAAGGCGACGAUCUGGCGCACAACUGACGCUCAGUCCCGAAAGCGUGGGGAGCAAAUAGGAUUAGAUACCCUAGUAGUCCACGCCGUAAACGAUGAGUACUAAGUGUUGGGGGUCAAACCUCAGUGCUGCAGUUAACGCAUUAAGUACUCCGCCUGAGUAGUACGUUCGCAAGAAUGAAACUCAAAGGAAUUGACGGGGGCCCGCACGAGCGGUGGAGCAUGUGGUUUAAUUCGAAGCAACGCGAAGAACCUUACCAGGUCUUGACAUCGAUCUAAAAGGGUCAGAGAUGACCUGAUAGCUAUAGAGAAGACAGGUGGUGCAUGUUUGUCGUCAGCUCGUGUCGUGAGAUGUUGGGUUAAGUCCCGCAACGAGCGCAACCCUUAUCCUCAGUAGCCAGCACGUAGAGGUGGGCACUCUGGGGAGACUGCCAGGGAUGACCUGGAGGAAGGUGGGGAUGACGUCAAAUCAUCAUGCCCCUUAUGAUUUGGGCUACACACGUGCUACAAUGGCGUAAACAGAGGGAAGCGAGAGGGUGACCUGGAGCAAAUACCAAAAAUAACGCCCCAGUUCGGACUGUAGUCUGCAACCCGACUACACGAAGCUGGAAUCGCUAGUAAUCGAGGAUCAGAAUGCCGCGGUGAAUACGUU
rnacentral:rRNA from 1 species